rnacentral:rRNA from 1 species
AUUGAACGCUGGCGGCAGGCUUAACACAUGCAAGUCGAGCGGGGUGAUGGUGCUUGCACUAUCACUUAGCGGCGGACGGGUGAGUAAUGCUUAGGAAUCUGCCUAUUAGUGGGGGACAACAUCUCGAAAGGGAUGCUAAUACCGCAUACGUCCUACGGGGGAAAGCAGGGGAUCACUUGUGACCUUGCGCUAAUAGAUGAGCCUAAGUCGGAUUAGCUAGUUGGUGGGGUAAAGGCCUACCAAGGCGACGAUCUGUAGCGGGUCUGAGAGGAUGAUCCGCCACACUGGGACUGAGACACGGCCCAGACUCCUACGGGAGGCAGCAGUGGGGAAUAUUGGACAAUGGGGGGAACCCUGAUCCAGCCACGCCGCGUGUGUGAAGAGGGCCUUAUGGUUGUAAAGCACUUUAAGCGAGGAGGAGGCUCUUUUGGUUAAUACCCAGAAUGAGUGGACGUUACUCGCAGAAUAAGCACCGGCUAACUCUGUGCCAGCCGCCGCGGUAA